AAAGCGAAGCCGCGAGGUGGAGCAAAUCCCAUAAAAGGCGUCCCAGUUCGGAUUGCAGGCUGAAACCCGCCUGUAUGAAGUUGGAAUUGCUAGUAAUCGUAGAUCAGCAUGCUACGGUGAAUACGUUCCCGGGCUUUGUACACACCGCCCGUCAAACCAUGAAAGUCGGGGGACACCCGAAGUCUGUGAGCUGACCGCAAGGAGGCAGCAGCCGAAGGUGGAUUCGAUGAUUGGGGUUAAGUCGUAACAAGGUAUC
rnacentral:rRNA from 1 species